AAUCUUAAAGAAAUAUUAAAAUAAUAAAAAAAUAUAUCAUAAAUAAAUCUCAACCAAGUCCUAAUUUUAAAUUAAUUGAAAUUCUAAUGGACUUCAAUCAAAUUUUAGGCCAAAUUCUAAAUCCUAAGAAAAUUCUAAAUUCUAAAGUCUAAGCAAAUUUUAAACCCUAAAUCCUAAGAAAAUCCUAAAUCCUAAGAAAAUCCUUAAUCCUAAAUCCUAAGAAAAUCUUAAAUCCUAAAUUCUAAAUAAUUCCUAAAACUUAAAUCUUAAACAAACUUUAAAUCUUAAAUCCUAAAUAAAUCCUAAAUCCUAAAUUCUAAGCAAAUCUUAAAUCCUAAAUCUUAAGCAAACCUUAAAUCAAAUCCUAAAUCCUAGUCCAACUCUAAAUCCUAAUCAAAUCUUAAUCAAAUCCUAAAAAAAUCAUUAGAAAAUCCUAAAUCCUACUGCAAUCUUAAAUCCUAACCAAACUUUAACAAAAUCCUAAAUCCUAAUCCAAUUCUAACUCUAAACCAAAUUCUAACCAAAAUCUAAUCAACUCAACCUAAUCCUAGCAUAAUUUAGAACCUCAAUAUC
rnacentral:lncRNA from 1 species